GCCGGAGUGAUGGAAUGGUAGACAUAAGGGACUUAAAAUCCCUGGGCCCUAGGCCGUGUGGGUUCGAGUCCCACCUCCGGCA
rnacentral:tRNA from 1 species